GAUGAACGCUGGCGGCGUGCCUAAUACAUGCAAGUCGAGCGAACAGAUGAGGAGCUUGCUCCUCUGACGUUAGCGGCGGACGGGUGAGUAACACGUGUAUAACCUACCUAUAUGACUGGGAUAACUUCGGGAAACCGGAGCUAAUACCGGAUAAUAUCUUGAACCGCAUGGUUCAAUAGUGAAAGACGGCUUUGCUGGCACUUAUAGCUGGAUCCGCGCCGCAUUAGCUAGUUGGUAAGGUAACGGCUUACCAAGGCAACGAUGCGUAGCCGACCUGAGGGGGUGAUAGGCCACACUGGAACUGAGACACGGUCCAGACUCCUACGGGAGGCAGCAGUAGGGAAUCGGCCGCAAUGGGCGAAAGCCUGACAGAGCAACGCCGCGUGAGUGAUGGAGGUCUUCGGAUCGUAAAACUCUGUUAUGAGGGAAGAACAAAUGUGUAAGUAAAUAUGCACGUCUUGACGGUACCUAAUCAAAAAGCCACGGCUAACUACGUG
rnacentral:rRNA from 1 species